rnacentral:rRNA from 1 species
GGGCCCGCACAAGCGGUGGAGUAUGUGGUUUAAUUCGAUGCAACGCGAAGAACCUUACCAGGGCUUGACAUCCUGCGAACCUCUGGGAAACCGGAGGGUGCCUUCGGGAACGCAGUGACAGGUGGUGCAUGGCUGUCGUCAGCUCGUGUCGUGAGAUGUUGGGUUAAGUCCCGCAACGAGCGCAACCCACGUCUUUAGUUGCCAGCAUUUAGUUGGGCACUCUAGAGAGACCGCCGGUGACAAACCGGAGGAAGGUGUGGAUGACGUCAAGUCAUCAUGCCCCUUACGUCCUGGGCUACACACGUACUACAAUGGUAUCUACAACAGGAAGCAAAAACGGCGACGUU